AGCAGUAGCCGCGGGAAUACGAAGGGGGCUAGCGUUGCUCGGAAUCACUGGGCGUAAAGGGUGCGUAGGCGGGUCUUUAAGUCAGGGGUGAAAUCCUGGAGCUCAACUCCAGAACUGCCUUUGAUACUGAAGAUCUUGAGUUCGGGAGAGGUGAGUGGAACUGCGAGUGUAGAGGUGAAAUUCGUAGAUAUUCGCAAGAACACCAGUGGCGAAGGCGGCUCACUGGCCCGAUACUGACGCUGAGGCACGAAAGCGUGGGGAGCAAACAGGAUUAGAUACCCCCGUAGUCCCUGUCUCUUAUAA
rnacentral:rRNA from 1 species